UACGUAGGAGGCAAGCGUUGUCCGGAAUUACUGGGCGUAAAGCGCGUGUAGGUGGUGGGACAAGUCUGCUGUGAAAGCGCCUGGCUUAACCGGGCGAGGUCGGCGGAAACUGUCCGACUAGAGGACGGUAGAGGGGGGUGGAAUUCCCGGUGUAGUGGUGAAAUGCGUAGAGAUCCGGAGGAACACCAGUGGCGAAAGCGGCCACCUGGACUGCACCUGACGCUGAAACGCGAAAGCUAGGGGAGCGAACGGG
rnacentral:rRNA from 1 species